CCUACGGGAGGCAGCAGUGGGGAAUAUUGCGCAAUGGGCGAAAGCCUGACGCAGCGACGCCGCGUGAGGGAUGAAGGUCUUCGGAUCGUAAACCUCUGUCAGCAGGGAAGAACGGUCACUGUGCUAAUCAGCAGUGAAUUGACGGUACCUGCAAAGGAAGCACCGGCUAACUCCGUGCCAGCAGCCGCGGUAAUACGGAGGGUGCGAGCGUUAAUCGGAAUUACUGGGCGUAAAGCGCACGUAGGCGGUAUGUCAAGUCAAGGGUGAAAUCCCCGGGCUCAACGUGGGAACUGCCUUUGAAACUGGCAGACUGGAGUGUAGGAGAGGAUAGUGGAAUUCCAGGUGUAGGGGUGAAAUCCGUAGAUAUCUGGAGGAACAGCAGUGGCGAAGGCGGCUAUCUGGCACAUAACUGACGCUGAGGAGCGAAAGCGUGGGUAGCAAACAGGAUUAGAUACCCCAGUAGUC
rnacentral:rRNA from 1 species